rnacentral:lncRNA from 1 species
UGUAAUUGUCAAAAUUAAGAAACCCAUUUCCUAUUGACUAAAACCUUAGAAACUAUCUAUUAUAAAAAACAUUAACAAGAAGAAAAAUCCAACUUAAACUAUCCUAUUCUUUAAAAACACCCCGCAGUUCAAAUUUUCUGGCAUCCCACCCCUUAAUUCUACAAGCCAUCGUUCUAUCUUCAAUUGUUCUGUAUCAUUGUUGUCCUUAAUGGAGAUUUCGUAGAAAUAGAAACCGUCAGAGUCCCUUUGUUCUUAUUUCCUCCGACUUAUUUCAAAAGUCGUUCAGAGAUCUUCUAUCCUCUUCGGUCGUCGAUUCCGUUUUUGGGGAGCCUCCUCGAUCCAAAUCCUCGAUUUUGUCCAUUGUUUUCUUUCCUCAGUCAUCGCAUGAGCCGCAUGAUUUACCAAAAAUAGCAGGUAAAGCUUUUGAAUCUUUGUGCUUUUUCUUUUAUUUCUUAUACAAUCGUCGCGAUACUCGAUCUGUCCUCAUCUCCUGUUUGGAUUUUUUAUGACUGCUAAGAAGUCACCUUCUACUGUCAGUUUAUGAAACCCUAGUUCCUUAGCCACCAUCACUGAUUGUAGACAUGCUUUCGCCUCUGUCGUGGUUGCAUCGGCUAUAAAAUUGUUCUGGUAAGUGCAUGCUUCCAAUAUAUAUCCCUCGACGUCUCUAAAUAUGAUUCUCGUAACCGAACUUAGCAUGUUUCUAUUAUAUGCCGCAUCGAAAUUGUAAUUGACUUCAUUUUCUCUCGGUGGUUUCCAAAUACAAUCGUUCUAUCGUAUAUUUGUUGUUGUUUUUGGAACUAUGUGGUUACUCUCUGCCUGGGAUGGUUUGAUAAAUGCGAUUAACCCAACUGUACUUUGUUUUUCACCUUGAUGGUAAACUUUAUUUCUUUGGUGCCAUACUGCCCAUAGAGAUAUUUCUAGGCAUUUGCAUUGUUCUUCUUCCAUACUAACAAAUAGAUUUGCUAACCAUAAUUUCCAGUUUUGGCCUUGGGACUAGGAGAGGCAUCGAUCCCUACCCCUUGCAGGAUAUUUUUGACAAACAUACAGUCCCAGAAUAUAUGGUUCACCGAUUCUUCCGUUGAGUGACAUAGUGGGUAAUCGUUCAUCACCCUCACCUUCUUAGAUUGAAGGUUGUUAAGAGUAGGAAUAUAGUUAUUUAUUACUUUCCACAUUCUAAUUUUGAUCUUGCUUGCAAUUUGUAAGUUCCAUAGUCUGGUGUAGAAUUUCUGUAAAAUCGUCGGUUGUAGCAUUACUUCCUUUUACAUUUGUGUUGUAUCUUCUUUAAACAACCACUUGUAUCCUCUUUUUGUUGAGUACACUCAUGUAUUAUCACCCCUCUAAAAACCCUGAUGUCCUUGAUGUUGACUCCAACAAUUGGGAUGGUAUGAAUUCUGUUUGCUUGCUCCUCGUCAAAAAGCUUUCUUAGGACUUCUGACCUCUAGGUGAUCUGUUCAGAAUUAAUUAAGUUUGCUACUAGUGUGAAGUUGAUAUUAAUAUUCUAACAAGUUAUUUUUCCAUGUCCAGGCCUUGGAAGCUAAGCUUCGUUCCAUAUAUUGAUUGAUUUGCCAUUUCUUACCCUUCAUCCUAUGUCUACCUCAAAAAGUCCUCUCGCGCACCAUAUGCUCCCCCAGGUAAAUGAUAGGUGAAAUCCUAAACUUGUAUUAAAAAAUUCACUAUUUGAGUAAAAUUUUACUUUUAUAACACGAGCAAAUAAGCAGUUUGGAUUCAUAAUUAACUUCCAACCCUGAUAUGUAAGUAAAGCAAUAUUAAAUUUAGCCAAAUCUCUAAAACCUAAUCCUUCUUGCGCUUUCGAUUUGCACUCCUCCCUCCACUCACACCAAUGAAUCCCCUUUCAUGUUUUGGAAUUUAUUUACCAGAAUUUGCUAAUAAUGUUUUCUAACUCACGACAAAGGAUAAUAGGCAAUAAGAAACAUUACAUUGUAUAAACUGGUAUGGCUUGUAAAAUUGACUUAAUAAAGACUUCUUUACCUGUAAGCGAUUAUUGUCGAAUACUCUAGUUUUCAAUGCGUCUCGAGAAUCUGUCUUUAAAAUUUGCAAGCACUUAUUUUUUUCGUCUUCCUAUCAUGGUUGGAAGACCUAAAUAUUUUUCCUAAUUACUCAAAAUUCUUACUUCAAGAGACGCUCCAAUCUGUUCCUUAUAAUCACUCUGUACAUUACUACUAAAGUAAAUCAGUGACUUACCAAAAUUGAUUAGCUAGCUCGAAACCACUUUGUACUUGUUUAAUAUUGACUUAAUAGCCUUUGCCCCCUCCAUUCUUGCUUCCUCCAAUAGAAUGCUAUAGUCCAUCUCUCCCCACUUUUACCCCUUUGAUAAUUCCUUCAUUUUUUUUUCCCAAUUUUAGUAGUGACGAAAAGCCUUCUGCAUAGAAUAAAAAUAUAUAUGGACUUAAGGGAUCCCCUUAUCUUAGUCCCUUGGACAGUUUAGUUUUUCUCUACGAACCCCAUUAAACAAGACUAAAUAUUUCACCGUUCGCACACCUCAUCACUAGAUUCAACCAUUAUUCAAAAAAACUCAUUCGUCUUCUAUGAAGUUCCAUUCAACCCUGUCAUAAGCUUUACUCAUACUUAAUUUCAACACAAAUUGUCCCCAUGUUCCUUUUCUUCUACUUCAAAGAUUGUAGAAUGUCAUAAGCAAUAAGUGUGUUAUCCGUGAUUUGUCUCCCAAGAACAAAAGUCGCUUGUGUUUCGUCAAUGCAUAUAUCUAGUAUUGUUCUAAAUCUAUUAACCAUAGCUUUAGAGAUGAUUUUGUAUACAACAUUGCAAAGACUAAUCAACCUGAACUGUGUCAUACAAUUUUGUGAAUUCACUUUUGGAAUAAGUGCCUAGAAAUCUCAUCUACCACAAUAUGCCAGCAUUCUUAUAAAAUAGUGCAGGGUAACCGUCCAUACCUCAUGCUUUUAAAGGUGUCAUGUUCUUUACUACCGUUGUCACUUUCUCUACUUUAAAUUUUUCUACUAAUGCCAUGUUCAUGUUUUUUUGAAUGCACAUUGUACUAUCUGAUAACACUCUAUCAUCAUUCCUCGAAUUCGACGUCGAAAAUAGUUCAUUGAAAUAUUUUGUUGCCACCGUUAUCUUCUCUUCUUUGUCAACGAUUCAUUCUCAAUUCGACCCUUUUAGUUUUUUCACCUUGUUUCUUUUUUUCCUUUGGUUUGAAAAGUUAUGGAAAAAAGACGUAUUUCGAUCCCCAAAUUUGAGCCAAUUUGCCUUUACUUGCUGCUAUCAAAAUAACUCUUCUUUAUCAGCUUUCAGAUUUAAUGCCAAUUUGACUUUUUCUAUUUCUACAGGCAUUUCAUCGUCCGGGUCAACUAAGUUCAGCUCAGCUACUUUCUUAUUUAGUAAAGUUGACUCCUUUCUUUUGUUGGUCGUAAGUCUACUCAUCUCAUUAAGCGCUUCACCCAACAUUCAUAACUUUAUAGGCACAUCCUCUGAGUUCCCCUCCCAAAAAUCUUAAAUUUGUUGUUUACACUCAUUUUCUAAAGCCCAAUUAGCAUUAAAUCUAAAUCCCCUUUCCCCCCAAGUCUUGUAUAUGUUGCUAUCAAUCCCCAAAUCUACCAAGAUCAAACAAUGAUUUGGUAUAGCACGCAUUAAGUGUUUUAAAUAAUACCUUGGAAAAAUCUCCCACCAUGCCUGAUUCACUACUCCUCUGUCGAUUCUUUCACAAACAUUAUUUUCUGGCAACCUCACUAUUUCCCAUGUAUACCAUUUUUUCGAGAAGCUUAGAUCAUUAAGAUUACAAUCCUCCAAUACUUCCUUGAGUCGAGCCAUGUUUUUGUCACUUCUUAAACGAUCACCACUUUUCUCAAAAGAAAACAUAAUCUUAUUAAAUUCUCCCACAACCAUUCAUGGCAAACCUUGAUAAUUCCCAAAACCCCUUAAAAGGUUCCAAGUCUCCUUUCUUUUGUAUUCCUUUGGUGCACUAUAAAACCCUGUAAGUCUCUAAGACAACAUUCCUUCUUUUUCUGUGACUUCUACAUCGAUAUGGUUUGCUGAGAAACUUUUCAAUUGCACCACAUACUGCCCUUUCCAUCCGAUUGGCAAUCCCUCUUUGGAUCCAUAUGCUCCGACGUCUAUUCAUAAGUAAAACCACAUUUCUCAUGAACUUUUUCCAUUCUUUUUUCAUUCAAUUUUAGAAACAAAAUUUGGGGUUGUACAUGCCUCAUCUUAUUCUGGAGGUGAUUAAUCGUCUGUGGAUACCCCAAUCCAUGAACGUUCUAACUUGAUAUUUUCAUUACAUCCAGUCGACAUGCUUACUAGCGACCGACAAUCUCUCAGUAAGUUGAAUCAAUGCACCCGAAUUAUCAUUCCUAUUUGAAUGUCUAUUCAUUGUUCUUUAUCUUUUCUUUCCUUCACAAAACCUAAUUGAUUUGUUCUCUAGUAUGGUUUCCUUUGGCCCAUUAGCCAUUCUCCUUGUGCAAAUUUGUCUCCUUCUAUUCCUUCUUUGUUUCGAAAGUGUAUCUCCAUACCGAUAGAAUUACUACUCCUUUAGAACCCACUUGGCACAUCUUCCUUUAGCCAUUUGCUUUUAACGAACAUCUCAUUCCUUGACGGUGCUCUUAGUGAUGAGUCCCAUCCAAAUUUAACUUCUUGGAUCAUGAUUGUUUUCCUAACCGGACAGAAAUCUUCCCUAUAACCUAAUUUUUUGCAUAAAAAGCAGAACAAAGUAAACCUCUUAUAUUGAAAGUAGGCAUAUCCCUACUGUCCUUGUCCCAAAGCUAAUUUUUUCUUUCUUUUCAAAGCUAGUCUUACAUCAAUUUUCACCCUAAAUUGCAUGUACCUUCGUUCCUCUCUUGAGAUCAACACAACAUCAUAUUGUAAGAAUUGCCUUAUAAAAUCCCCCAAUUGCUUUGCUAUUCCCUCUGAUAUUUCCCCAAAUGGCAAAUAAUGGACUUGAAUCCAAAAAUAAAUAUAAUUUAAAGGAAUUUGCUUUGGAUAUUCCCUAUUAACGAACCAAUGAAAAAUUAUAAGAUUCCUGUUGAAUGACCACGACAUGCCAUCCAUCACCCUCUUUAUAUCCUCAUUGUAAAAAAUUGAAAUAACUACCAUUUCCCCCCUAAAUUUGAGAUUAUUACUCCCCCUAAUGGAUGCCAUAGAUCAACCAAAGUUCUUUUGAGAGAAGGAAAGUGAACUACACAAUCAAUUAGUGUUUUUCCUACUAAACAGAGUCGAUGUUCAUCAUCUUCUUUACUUGAAUAUUUUUCACAUGGAAUCGGUUCCUCCUCUUCGUCAUUCAAGUUUAGAUUUGUGAUGUCUGUCUCCAUUGACAAUCAAAUCCUUGUUAGAGCUCACACUUUGUCUGAAACAACCAAACCCUAGAUUAUGAUCCUUGAAACUCAACAAACGGAAUAAAAAAAAUACAUGCUAAAAAACCCUAUGAUACGAGUCACAAAAGCCCAAAUUCUUGAAGGCGAGGCCCAAUAAGCAAAUUCUCAGCCCAAUGAAGAAAUUCAUCCAUACUUAGUUGAAAAUCAGGCCAAAUUGUCAAAGUGGCCCAAGUUGUAAAGUUUUAUUUUUAUUUAUUUAUUUAUUUAUUUACUUAGUUUAAAUUUUUAUGUCAAUAUUCAGUCCAAGAGUCCCAGAUAAAAUGACCUUUGACCGAAUUUUCAUAUUAAAAUAAUUAGGAGUUUUUUUUAUUUUAAUUUUCUAAUUAGAUUAGGACUAGUUAUAAGGCCUAUUUAAAGGCAUGGCUGUCCACCUUGUUAAACACUUAUCAUUAUUAUUAAAAUUUCAGAUUUGUUGAGAGCAGAAUUUUCUUUGAGUUCUCUCCAAGAUUUCUCUCUUGAAUUUUCUUUAGAAGUUGUUUUAACAAUCUUUUGAUUGUGGGAGCCAUCUUCAACCUUCUUAUUGCCAUUGAUAUUCUUUGGAGGGGAGAUUAGAGCCGUUUGAAGGGAUUUGUGAAAUCUUUCGGGAUUUCAAGGAUCUUUAGGACUUUCUUUAUUUCUUGCUGUUUCGUUUUAUUUCUUUAUUUCUACUUGUGCUGAAUCAUUAUCUAAUCUAUUUUCUGUUCUUAUUGUGUUUUCAGCCUUUUUAUAUCUUAAGGAAUCAGCCCAAAAAUCUCCAAUUUCUAGGGUUUUUCCAUACUCUUUUUGGGUGAAAUUAGAUUGUCGAAAUUUGAGAAAAACUAUCUUGGUGUUCAAUUGGGCAAUCAUAAUCUCCUUGAGGGUUUCAAGAACCCUAACACUUAUUUCUAUUCUAAAUUUGAUUCUUUGCUGAUUUGGGGAUUUUAUUUCAGAUCUGGAAAUUUAAAGUUCUAAUCUUUUAAUUUUUCUGUUUCGUUUCGGAUCUGAUUGUUUAGGGUUUUCGUAGGAGUUUCCCGUGACUUGGCGACUUGAUCUUGGUCCGCGCGCAACCCCGUAUCAUUUGGUAUCAGAGCUUGGGCGUUUUGGGUGUUCUUGGUUGAUUUCUAAACUGAUAUCUAUUUUUUAAAGCAUAAACGGCAGUUUUACUCAGAAAAAUUGUUCAAAAAAAAUUCAUUUGAGUGGGUAAACGUUGUCCGAUUGAUCUGAAAUUUUACAUACAUGUUUUUGGCACUGUGAUUGAAUAUAAAAAAAUUAUUCCCGCAAAAAAAUCAGUCAAAAAAUCAAAAAAUACGAAAUUCAAUAAAAAUUUAAAAAAAAUUUAGCGGGUUGAAUUUGGUGCCCAAAAUUUCCAGAUCAAAAAUUCAAUAUAUAAGGACACUUCAGAUUUAAUUUCGUGAUUUUUGGAGAUCGGGAAUACCUUGAACGAAGUUGUCAAGUUACUCCGCAGUUUUUCGGGUUUUCUGUUUUCAGCAAUUUUUAUUGAUUCUUAGUUGUAGGUUUUCAUUUGUUUCCCUUUAUUCUUCCUUUACGUUAUCUAACACCUUCUUGUUUCUUGUGUUAGUAGGAUUUAAACGUGGGCACAACUUCUUCCUCGGUGCAACACGAAUCAAUUGGUGUCUCGUCAGUUUUUGGCAUCCUAGUGCAAAUUAGGAUUCUUUGGUAGUUUGGUUCACACUCUCUAAUUGGUUGAUAUAAACUCUGAUAAAGAACUCACAAGAUUGAAUUCGACCUUAUUGGGAAUUUGAUUUUUUCUUUUUGAGUGAUUAACGGUGAGGUUUGAUAAUUUUUAUUUUUGAGUAUUGAGUGUUUUGCAGGUUUUUAAAAAAAUGUCUACAGGUGAUAAUACUAGUGACAUUUAAAAAAUUCCAACAACAGUUGGACGAACAGGCUGCUGCACUUCGAGCGUUGACUGCUACUAUCAAUGAGGUGCGGUUGAAUCAAGAGCCUCAAUAUCGAGAUCAAAUUAAAGACGAUGUGGAUAACCAGCCUCCUGCUCAUAGGCGCGCUCCUCGGCGUGUCCCUAGAACUGAUUAUGAUCUUCAUGAUCGUGAACAACCCUCUUUGGCAAAACCAAAGAGCGAGCAGCAACGAGAACAUCUCUUUUAUACUCGCUGCCAUGUACAAGGUAAGCUUUAUAGAGUUAUUAUUGAUGGUGAAAGUUGCUCGAACGUAGCCAGCACGACGAUGGUGGAAAAGCUUUGCUUAACCACUACCAAGCAUCCACGACCUUAUCAACUACAAGGGCUUAGCAACGAAAGCCAAUUUAAGGUCACUCAACAGGUGCGCAUCGCCUUUUCUAUCGGUAAAUAUCAAGACGAAGUCGUGUGCGACGUAGUACCUAUUCAAGCCUGCCAUUUAUUGCUAGGAGAACCAUGGCAACUGGAUCGAAAAGUCACUCACGAUGGUCGUACCAAUAGGUAUUCUUUCAAGCAUCAAGGAAAGAAACUUACCUUAGUGCCGCUCACUCCGGAACAAGUCCAUGAGGACCAAAUCAAACUGAGAAAUUCUGUUAAAACAAGUGAGGAAAAAGAAAAAAAGAAUGAAAAAGAGCAAAAAGAGAUUGAGAGUGAAAAGGAAUGUGAAACAGAAAAGAAAUUUGAAAAAGAAGUUGAAGAAAGAAGAGAAAAUGAGUUAGAAAAAGAAACAAAAGAAAAAGACGAGGAAAGGCUAGUGAGGAAUGUUUCCACUAACCAAGAUAUGAAUUUUUCUUGUGUUGCUACUUUUCAGGUUCCUGAAAGAUCGAAAGAUAACUUUCAACUUCAAUACCUCUCAAAUGAAAGACGCUUUCAUACGAUCAACUUAGGCAAAGAUGAAAUCACACUACAUGAUCCCGAAGGUAAGCGAGGUAAGGAAAUUUUAGAAACCGAGUCCAGUACAGAUUUGAAAAUUAUUGAUAAAACUUUUGGUGACUUAGUUCUUAAAAGAUCCCCUCAUUUUGAUCCGAUUAAUUGUUACUCUUCGAUUGUGGUUGAUAAAGUCAUUACGAAAAGAAGCGUGAUUUGUUAUUCUCUUGAUUUACCUUGUGUAAAAUCUUCGAAUUUGUCCAAAUCUGUUUUGUAGAAUAAGGUAACGAAAUUUUUCAAAUUUGUUUUCAAUUUAUAUUCGUGCCUUAAACAGUUUAUGUGGUUGUACAUGAAGUUUGAGUUCCAUUUGACAAAGGUUAACUCAACAACGGAGAUUCGACUACACUAUGCCCCCGAUGAGCGAAGAUUUGUUUUAAAUGAAAAAGGUAAAAUCGACCCUUAUUCUUCUGCUUAUCGAGGUAAUAUGCUUGAAACCUUUGAAACACUUUUGUACUCCUCGGAUAGUGAUAAAGAUCGUGUUGAUGAAUACUUAGAUCGAAACGUGCUUGACUGUCCUAUUUUAUUUAUUCUAUCUGUUUUGAUGGUUGAUAAAAAGAUUCUUGUUUUUGAUAAUGCAUGUGUGUGAAUUUAUAGACCGUCGAUUAAUGCAUGGUAUGAUUAUGCAACUUUGUGAACCAUGUGAAUCUUUUCAAAUACCUACUUGUGACGAUUAUGUUUACCAUUUGAUUUAUUACUCGCAAUUUAUUCAUGGUUUGUGGGAACAAUGUGAGACGACUGAAUGCCUUAAAACAUGUCCAUCUUUGUUUCAAAUAUUUGACGAGGCAGUGGUGAGUAAAUUAGAUUGUUUGCAUGGUAAUCUGAAUCUGUCCAUUCACAUGCGUUAUACCUGUUCUGUUAUGCUUAUGAUUGGACUACAAGCUUGUUUCCGUUGCUAUUUACUAUCUCAUGGCUAUUCUUUUCAGUGGACUCAAUUGCCAUUAGUCCCGUUCGAUAGAGGAAAGUCGAGUUCAUUUGAUUUUUCAGAUUCGAGGACGAAUCUUUUUGAGGAAGGGGGGAAUGAUACGAGUCACAAAAGCCCAAAUUCUUGAAGGCGAGGCCCAAUAAGUAAAUUCCCAGCCCAAUCAAGAAAUCCAUCCAUACUUAGUUGAAAAUCAGGCCAAAUUGUCAAAGUGGCCCAAGUUGUAAAGUUUUAUUUUUAUUUUUAUUUAUUUAUUUAUUUAUUUACUUAUUUUAAAUUUUUAUGUCAAUAUUCAGUCCAAGAGUCCCAGAUAAAAUGACCUUUGACCGAAUUUCCAUAUUAAAAUAAUUAGGAGUUUUUUUUAUUUUAAUUUUCUAAUUAGAUUAGGACUAGUUAUAAGGCCUAUUUAAAGGCAUGGCUGUCCACCUUGUUAAACACUUAUCAUUAUUAUUAAAAUUUCAGAUUUGUUGAGAGCAGAAUUUUCUUUGAAUUUUCUUCAAGAUUUCUCUCUUGAAUUUUCUUUAGAAGUUGUUUUAACAAUCUUUUGAUUGUGGGAGCCAUCUUCAACCUUCUUCUUGCCAUUGAUAUUCUUUGGAGGGGAGAUUAGAGCCGUUUGAAGGGAUUUGUGAAAUCUUUCGGGAUUUCAAGGAUCUUUAGGACUUUCUUUAUUUCUUAUUGUUUCGUUUUAUUUCUUUAUUUCUACUUGUGCUGAAUCAUUAUCUAAUCUAUUUUCUGUUCUUAUUGUGUUUUCAGCCUUUUUCUAUCUUAAGGAAUCAGCCCAAAAAUCCCCAAUUUCUAGGGUUUUUCCAUACUCUUUUUGGGUGAAAUUAGAUUGUCGAAAUUUGAGAAAAACUAUCUUGGUGUUCAAUUGGGCAGAAUCAUAAUCUCCUUGAGGGUUUCAAGAACCCUAACACUUAUUUCUAUUCUCAAUUUGAUUCUUUGCUGAUUUGGGGAUUUUAUUUCAGAUCUGGAAAUUCAAAGUUCUAAUCUUUUAAUUUUUCUGUUUCGUUUCGGAUCUGAUUGUUUAGGGUUUUCGUAAGAGUUUCCCGUGACUUGGCAACUCGAUCUUGGUCCGCGCGCAACCCCGUAUCACCCUAGCAAAUGAAAGAACUCCUAUAUUGUAUAUUUUUAAAUAUUAUAUUUUAACACUUUAUUACUUUGUGUAAUUUGAAAGCCCUUAAUUUUAAUAUUAAAGUAAUAAUGGAAAGAGGGAUUUUUUA